rnacentral:tRNA from 3 species
CGGGGCGUGGCGCAGCCUGGUAGCGCACCUGCUUUGGGAGCAGGGGGUCGCCGGUUCGAAUCCGGCCGCCCCGA